AUACAUGCAAGUCGAACGCGUUGGCCCAAUUGAUUGAUGGUGCUUGCACCUGAUUGAUUUUGGUCGCCAACGAGUGGCGGACGGGUGAGUAACACGUAGGUAACCUGCCCAGAAGCGGGGGACAACAUUUGGAAACAGAUGCUAAUACCGCAUAACAGCGUUGUUCGCAUGAACAACGCUUAAAAGAUGGCUUCUCGCUAUCACUUCUGGAUGGACCUGCGGUGCAUUAGCUUGUUGGUGGGGUAACGGCCUACCAAGGCGAUGAUGCAUAGCCGAGUUGAGAGACUGAUCGGCCACAAUGGGACUGAGACACGGCCCAUACUCCUACGGGAGGCAGCAGUAGGGAAUCUUCCACAAUGGGCGCAAGCCUGAUGGAGCAACACCGCGUGAGUGAAGAAGGGUUUCGGCUCGUAAAGCUCUGUUGUUAAAGAAGAACACGUAUGAGAGUAACUGUUCAUACGUUGACGGUAUUUAACCAGAAAGUCACGGCUAACUCCUUGCCACUACCCGCGGUAAA
rnacentral:rRNA from 2 species